rnacentral:rRNA from 1 species
AUUGAACGCUGGCGGCAUGCCUUACACAUGCAAGUCGAACGGUAACAGGUCUUCGGAUGCUGACGAGUGGCGAACGGGUGAGUAAUACAUCGGAACGUGCCCGAGAGUGGGGGAUAACGAGGCGAAAGCUUUGCUAAUACCGCAUACGAUCUCAGGAUGAAAGCAGGGGACCGCAAGGCCUUGCGCUCACGGAGCGGCCGAUGGCAGAUUAGGUAGUUGGUGGGAUAAAAGCUUACCAAGCCGAGGAUCUGUAGCUGGUCUGAGAGGACGACCAGCCACACUGGGACUGAGACCCGGCCCAGACUCCUACGGGAGGCAGCAGUGGGGAAUUUUGGACAAUGGGCGCAAGCCUGAUCCAGCCAUGCCGCGUGCAGGAUGAAGGCCUUCGGGUUGUAAACUGCUUUUGUACGGAACGAAAAGACUCUGGUUAAUACCUGGGGUCCAUGACGGUACCGUAAGAAUAAGCACCGGCUAACUACGUGCCAGCCGCCGCCGUAAUAC